rnacentral:rRNA from 1 species
UACAGAGGGUGCAAGCGUUAAUCGGAAUCACUGGGCGUAAAGGGCGCGUAGGCGGUCUGCUAAGCGUGCGGUGAAAGCCUGGGGCUCAACCCCAGGUCUGCCGUGCGAACUGGUGGACUAGAGCACUGUAGAGGCAGGUGGAAUUCCGGGUGUAGCGGUGGAAUGCGUAGAGAUCCGGAAGAACACCGGUGGCGAAGGCGGCCUGCUGGGCUAUGGCUGACACUGAGGCGCGACAGCGUGGGGAGCAACAGG